rnacentral:rRNA from 1 species
GACGAACGCUGGCGGCAGGCUUAACACAUGCAAGUCGAGCGGAGCGAGGGUGCUUGCACCUUAGCUUAGCGGCGGACGGGUGAGUAAUGCUUAGGAAUCUGCCUAUUAGUGGGGGACAACAUUCCGAAAGGAAUGCUAAUACCGCAUACGCCCUACGGGGGAAAGCAGGGGAUCUUUGGACCUUGCGCUAAUAGAUGAGCCUAAGUCGGAUUAGCUAGUUGGUGGGGUAAAGGCCUACCAAGGCGACGAUCUGUAGCGGGUCUGAGAGGAUGAUCCGCCACACUGGGACUGAGACACGGCCCAGACUCCUACGGGAGGCAGCAGUGGGGAAUAUUGGACAAUGGGCGGAAGCCUGAUCCAGCCAUGCCGCGUGUGUGAAGAAGGCCUUUUGGUUGUAAAGCACUUUAAGCGAGGAGGGGGAGCUCUAGGUUAAUACCCUAGAUGCUUGGACGUUACUCGCAGAAUAAGCACCGGCUAACUCUGUGCCAGCCGCCGCGGUAAAAC